rnacentral:rRNA from 1 species
UACGUAGGGGGCUAGCGUUGUCCGGAAUCAUUGGGCGUAAAGCGCGUGUAGGCGGCCCGGUAAGUCCGCUGUGAAAGUCGGGGGCCCAACCCUCGGAUGCCGGUGGAUACUGUCGGGCUCGAGUACGGAAGAGGCGAGUGGAAUUCCUGGUGUAGCGGUGGAAUGCGCAGAUAUCAGGAGGAACACCAAUAGCGAAGGCAGCUCGCUGGGACGUUACUGACGCUGAGGCGCGAAAGCGUGGGGAGCGAACAGG